rnacentral:rRNA from 1 species
UACAGAGGGGGCAAGCGUUAUUCGGAAUUAUUGGGCGUAAAGGGCGCGUAGGCGGCUUGGCAAGUGGAUGGUGAAAUCCCUUGGCUUAACCGAGGAACUGCCGUCCAAACUGCUUUGCUUGAGACCGGGAGAGGUGAGUGGAAUUCCCAGUGUAGCGGUGAAAUGCGUAGAUAUUGGGAGGAACACCAGUGGCGAAGGCGGCUCACUGGACCGGUACUGACGCUGAGGCGCGAAAGCGUGGGGAGCAAACGGG